AAGGGUAUAACUCAGUGGUAGAGUACAUGCUUAGCAUGCACAAGGUCUUGUGUUCAAUUCCCAGUACCUCCA
rnacentral:tRNA from 1 species